AAGCUCGGUUGUAACCCUUCAGUUGGGACGAAGCUCCGACGGUGAAUAGCCGCCUGGAGUGACGGUACCUUCAGAAGAAGCCCCGGCUAACUACGUGC
rnacentral:rRNA from 1 species